AUUGAACGCUGGCGGCAUGCCUUACACAUGCAAGUCGAACGGCAGCACGGGUGCUUGCACCUGGUGGCGAGUGGCGAACGGGUGAGUAAUAUAUCGGAACGUACCUUAUUGUGGGGGAUAACGCAGCGAAAGCUGUGCUAAUACCGCAUAAUCCCUAAGGGGGAAAGCGGGGGACCGUAAGGCCUCGCGCAAUUAGAGCGGCCGAUACCUGAUUAGCUAGUUGGUGAGGUAAAGGCUCACCAAGGCAACGAUCAGUAGCUGGUCUGAGAGGACGAGCGGCCACACUGGGAAUGAGACACGGCCCAGACUCCUACAGGAGGCAGCAGUGGGGAAUUUUGGACAAUGGGGGCAACCCUGAUCCAGCAAUGCCGCGUGAGUGAAGAAGGCCUUCGGGUUGUAAAGCUCCUUUGUCAGGGAAGAAACAGCAGCUCUAACACAGUUUGCGAAUGACGGUACCUGAAGAAUAAGCACCGGCUAACUACGUGCCAGCCGCCGCCGUAA
rnacentral:rRNA from 1 species